rnacentral:snRNA from 1 species
AUAUUAAAAUAAUAUUAAAAAAAUCGGAAUGAUACAGAGAAGACUUGUAUGCCCCCUGUGUAAGGAUGGCAUGCAAAUUUAUAAAGCAUUAAAAAAAAAU